UAAAAUUGGCUGUUGCCUCAAAAGUGC
rnacentral:piRNA from 1 species